UUGACCGCGAGGUUUGGUCCGGAGGAAGCCAGUAGUCUCUUUGCUCUGUUAAGGGCGAGCUGAUGAACAAAAACAUCAUAUGAGGCGUAGGCUGGAGGCGAGUUGGCACAAGACGACGAAGCCAUGUGAUACUUUUGGUUAUAGAGCACGGCCACCGUAAAGGUGAGGUUGUGCAGUGAAAGUUCAUGUU
rfam:Osedax symbiont Rs1 5221_225, whole genome shotgun sequence.